CACACUCCUGUGAUCUGUGAUGUCACAUCACAUACAACAGGUAGUGAAUUCUCUCAGAAUCCCAAUUGAAUUAUAGCACACACACAGAGGCAAGACACUUGGUUAUCUGCACCAGUUUGAAAAUACAGAACCGGACCGACACCACCACCUGGAAAAAGACGAGCACAAUUUCUGAGGCCGACAACACGGGCCUGUGACCAUGGCUAAAGACCCGCUAGCAGAGGCAGGCUUCUAUUUCGAUGAUCUCAACAAGCUCAGGGUUCUGGAGCCUGAUGUCAGCCAGAAGACGUCGGAGCUUAAGGAGGAGUGUAAAGACUUUGUGGACAAAAUUGGCCAGUUUGGCAAGAUAGCUAGAGGUGUUAUUGAACUGGUUGAUGAGCUGGCAAAAGAAGUGGACACAGAAAAGAUGGAGGUGAGCUCAACGAUGGACGAACUCUUGUUCAAUUCACCUCAGAUGCCCUUCAGAAUCAGAAUCAGAAUCAGAAUCAGUUUUAUUGCCAGGCGAUAGGAGCCAGAAACCUGUUGAAGUCGGUGGCAAAACAGAGGGAGGCUCAGCAGCAGCAGCUUCAGGGUCUCGUUGCAGAGAAUAAGAUGCAACUUGAGAGAUAUCGUGUCGAGUAUGAAGCGUUGUCCAAGGUGGAGUCGGAGCAGAACGAGUUCAUCGACCAGUUUAUUCUACAGAAGUGAGGAAGAUGUGUUUCCAGAGUAUCUGUCCUAUUAAAAUGAACAAUAUAUUACAAAUAA